CACGUAGGGGGCGAGCGUUGUCCGGAUUUAUUGGGCGUAAAGAGCUCGUAGGCGGCUCAGUAAGUCGGGUGUGAAAACUCCAGGCUCAACCUGGAGACGCCACCUGAUACUGCUGUGGCUAGAGUCCGGUAGGGGAGCAUGGAAUUCCUGGUGUAGCGGUGAAAUGCGCAGAUAUCAGGAGGAACACCAGUGGCGAAGGCGGUGCUCUGGGCCGGAGCUGACGCUGAGGAGCGAAAGCGUGGGGAGCGAACAGG
rnacentral:rRNA from 1 species